rnacentral:rRNA from 1 species
UACGUAGGGUGCAAGCGUUAUCCGGAAUUAUUGGGCGUAAAGAGCUCGUAGGCGGUUUGUCGCGUCUGCUGUGAAAACUGGAGGCUCAACCUCCAGCCUGCAGUGGGGUACGGGCAAACUAGAGUGCGGGUAGGGGAGAUUGGAAUUCCUGGUGUAGCGGUGGAAUGCGCAGAUAUCAGGAGGAACACCGAUGGCGAAGGCAGAUCUCUGGGCCGUAACUGACGCUGAGGAGCGAAAGCAUGGGGAGCGAACAGG